rnacentral:rRNA from 1 species
UACGGAGGAUGCGAGCGUUAUCCGGAUUUAUUGGGUUUAAAGGGUGCGUAGACGGCGAUGCAAGUCUGAAGUGAAAGGCGGGGGCCCAACCCCCGGACUGCUUUGGAAACUGUAUGGCUGGAGUGCAGGAGAGGUAAGUGGAAUUCCUAGUGUAGCGGUGAAAUGCGUAGAUAUUAGGAGGAACACCAGUGGCGAAGGCGGCUUACUGGACUGUAACUGACGUUGAGGCUCGAAAGCGUGGGGAGCAAACAGG